rnacentral:lncRNA from 1 species
GACUGCCAGGUUGCUUCCCUCUAGACAGGUAAUAUCAAUAUGUUAACAACUUUGGUCAGAGCAUUUGGAAAGCAAACUACCUGGUUAAUGCUUACAAUUAUUAUCGUUAUUUUUGGGAAUUGAUGACUACUGUACGGACUGUUUGCAAUGCUGUUAAGAUGAUAAACAAGUAUACAAGUAUUUUUUUUUCACCUUAGGAAAACUGAAAUAUUCAUUCUUUUUAUGAUCAGUAUUAUACAACAUAUGCUUUGCUACGUCACAUUUUAUUACUUCCUGUUUAGUUCACGAGUUAAUUGCCAGUAGAAGUUAUCAAGUUUCUCCUCUGCUUACAAUAUAUAUCGGUUCUGAGCAUUUGUUUGUCUUGAACUCACAGUUUGGGUACAUUGUGCUGACUACUUCCGCUGGCAUCAUGGACCACGAAGAGGCUAGGAGGAAAAAUGUUGGUGGGAAAGUCCUUGGUUUCUUUUAUUAGUGUUAUUGGGUUUCUGGAACAAAGAUAUAAAUUGACAAUUUUGACGAGUUUUGUCUGUGACUUGAUUUACUUCUGGGUAGUUCUGUGUUUGCAAGAUCUUUAUUUCCUUACAAAUGUGAGUAGAGGUCGUUUACUUGCAUUUUUUGAAUGUAGUAUGAUUAUCGACUAUAAUGUUUAGCGGAAUAGUGGCGUUUCUUUCUUUCAUCAUGCCUAGACAUGCAUGUAUGUUGCAGGUAUCAAUUAAGCUGAAAAAUUUCCUUUGCACGUUUGAAUCAGGGUCCACUACAUAUAAAUGUAAUUUCACUUCUGCGUAUCAUAGAUCUGUUGAAACUUUAUAUGUAACCUAAGAAUGGGCGUGCUCGUGGGAUGUUUAUGAUAUGCUUGAUCAUAUAUUCCGAUACUAGGAAGUGCUAGCACAUUUGCAAUCCUAAGAGGCGGCAAUAUGUAGGACUUAUAUUUACUCAGUCCAAUUGUUGAAAUAUUUAUUCAUUUCAAUUGUUGAAAAAAUUACCAGUCCGGGGGUUUUGGCACGGUUGGGGAUGAUUAAGUUGGAUAUUGAUUGUAUGAAUCGAUUCAUAGACCCCAAGGGUGGUGAUGAGGUGCUUUCUAGUGUCGUCUACCGAAGAUUAUUUCAUAUUCUCAGCUAUCUAUAGGCGGAUCACCCUCGGCCGCACCAACUUAAAAGACAUAAUUACGUGAAUGAAAGCGAGUCAAGGGAUGAUUGUAAUAAGCAAGGUUUUGGUUUCCAUCUCAACAGCACAUUUCCUUUGUAGCUUCUUGUUUACAGGUCGCUGAAGCAGAGGCUUUAAUUUUAGGACUUUGGCAUACAGAGCCUAACAGACCUAGAUUCGGUACUUCAUGACGGACAUUUUUUUUUUUUUUUUGUCAGCAACGAUAUAUUUAUAUAACCUACUAUAUCCUAAUUUAGGGGUAUCCUAAUUUAGGGGAAGGGGAGCUUAAGAAGGCUGUUGUAAGAGUUAGUGGGUAUACAGAUUCAACUAGAUUAAAGGAAUAUUAUGGCACAACCUUUAAAUUUUUUUCGUUACUUGUGAGAUUUGAGCCUAAGAAGGGAUUUAAAUCCCUCCUAGUGGCCACUAAACCAUUGGCCUAGUGGUUUCAUGACGGACAUCUAUUAGGGCCGUUUUCUGCACUUCUGUUUAUAUAAGAUCCCAUAGUUUAGUGUGUGAACAUCCUGAAACUCAUAGUAUGAUACUAGCGUGCACGGAUCAAAUUGAUCUCAUCAUUUCCCAGCAACAGACGACAAAAUCUUUAGAACCAUAAUAUCUUAUAAUGCUAAAUUUGAGGCGAGUGGGAGCAUAUUUGUUAAACUUUAUUCCAUAAGCAAGCUAGUUAAGUAGUAUAAUCUUAAACAAUCCAGUCAAAACAGAGAAGAAAGCGACCAGGAUGCACAACCACCAAUAAUGAUUUCUAGUUUUUAUGCCGUCGAGAGGGGUUUAACAAGUAACAAUUACCAGCGGAAAAACAAAAACACCUAUUCUUCUUUUAGCCAGGUGAAAAAUUUAAGAAGAGAGAAACUGCCAAAGGUUUUAGUUGCCCUAAUGGUGAGUUUACCAUUACGACUUUUAAUCCAGAUGGUCGACUUCCUUAGCCAUCUUCAUCGAUGCAAAUGCUACCAUCACCAGCACUUCCGCGGCCACUGCUACCAUCUUCACCAGCUUUCUGAUCUUCAGAUCCCAUUAAAUCUAAAAGAAAAAAGGCACAGCUAGGGCUUAAGAGUAUGAGGAAAAUGCGGCAGCAUUAACAUCAAUGGGAUGGAAGCUCUCAAAAUGAGAAGAGGGAAGAAGCCUAGGUACGUGAAUGGCUUUUUGUAGAGAUGGUGGGAAGAGCAUCUUCCAAGCAUAUGCUUCCCAUAGCAUUUAGCUUUUUCUCUCAUUUCCUCGAGUCAUUUAUUAAGCUUAAGGGGGACAUAUGGCAUUUUAUGGAAUCUACCUAAGACGACUUCCCAUCUUAGUCGUCUCCUUGCACUUUGGUCCCCCGCCUUUACAAAAACUGAUCAGUCCUUUUAAGCAAAUCACUAGUAAUGCUGCUUCCGUAAAAUAGAGCCAUGGUUUGCAUAUUAUUCUCCCAAGACAGUCAUGGCAUAAAUAAGCUUUGAAUUAGGAACCCAAAGAAAAAAAAAUAUUGAAUAAGCUUUCACGUUUCAAGGAGCUCCAUUGGUCUUUGCUUUGAACUCUUCUUGUUUUUAAGACUACAA